AUACGGAGGGGGCUAGCGUUGUUCGGAUUUACUGGGCGUAAAGGGCGCGUAGGCGGACAGUUUAGUCAGAGGUGAAAGCCCAGGGCUCAACCUUGGAAUUGCCUUUGAUACUGGCUGUCUUGAGUUCGGGAGAGGUGAGUGGAAUGCCGAGUGUAGAGGUGAAAUUCGUAGAUAUUCGGCGGAACACCAGUGGCGAAGGCGACUCACUGGCCCGAUACUGACGCUGAGGCGCGAAAGCGUGGGGAGCAAACAGGAUUAGAAACCCCAGUAGUCC
rnacentral:rRNA from 1 species